CGCUUCGGUGGCCUAGUGGUUAGUGUUCGCUUCGGAAGCGGGAGGUCCUGGGUUCUAUCCUCGGCUAAGUCU